rnacentral:lncRNA from 1 species
CACACCCCACUGGCUGUUGCAAGAGUGACGUUGCCAUUGGUGACUGCAGGUCUCCCAGCAGCCUGGUGCAGAGAGGCCACUUCAGGCUCGAACAGAGGCCCGGGUUUCCACGGGAGACAGCAGAGCCACGGUGUAGCAGGCAUCCAGCUCUCCCCCGAUCAGUUCCGUGACUUGUCGGAAGGCCCUCCCUCCCGGUCAGACGAAGAAAGGACUGGUGGCCUCUGGGGAUCCUGAGCCUGUCUCCAUGGGAACCAGCUCACCCACCCCCUCUCUGGCAAGUGUCCUAGUGGGAGCCAUGGGAAACCAUGGGCUCCAGCCCCUGGCCGCUGACUGGUUGGCGGCCUUCCGUUUUGAGAUCCCUGGCCCAGGGUAAUGGAGGGGACCUCAUCUUACAGAAGACACA